rfam:Halobacteriaceae archaeon SB9 contig_35, whole genome shotgun sequence.
CUGAAGGUCGCGUCCGGGUCAAUUGCGGACUGCAACACCCGAUCUCGCUCUACACGCCUCCGGGAAUGGAGGCAGAGGAGCGAGAGCGCGUCACCGUCAG